rnacentral:rRNA from 1 species
CCUACGGGAGGCUGCAGUAGGGAAUAUUGCUCAAUGGGGGAAACCCUGAAGCAGCAACGCCGCGUGAAGGAUGAAGGUUUUCGGAUUGUAAACUCCUUUUUUUAGAGAAGAUAAUGAAAGUAUCUAACGAAUAAGCACCGGCUAACUCCGUGCCAGCAGCGCCGGUAAUACGGAGGGUGCAAGCGUUACUCGGAAUCACUGGGCGUAAAGAGCGCGUAGGCGGUAUAGCAAGUCAGAUGUGAAAUCCUAGGGCUUAACCAUAGACCUGCAGUUGAAACUGUUAUUCUAGAGUAGGCGAGAGGUAGGUGGAAUUCUUGGUGUAGGGGCAAAAUCCGUAGAGAUCAAGAGGAAUACUCAUUGCGAAGGCGACCUGCUAGAACAUAACUGACGCUGAUGCGCGAAAGCGUGGGGAGCAAACAGGAUUAGAUACCCGAGUAGUC